GUUAGGAAUAUUGGACAAUGGGCGAAAGCCUGAUCCAGCCAUGCCGCGUGAACGAUGAAGGCCUUCGGGUUGUAAAGUUCUUUAGCCGAUGAUUAUAAUGACUGUAGUCGGAAAAUAAGCCCCGGCUAACUUCGUGCCAGCAGCCGCGGUAAUACGAAGGGGGCGAGCGUUAUUCGGAAUCACUGGGCGUAAAGCGUGCGUAGGCGGUCUCGUAAGUUAGGAGUGAAAGCCCAGGGCUCAACCUUGGAAUUGCUCUUAAAACUGCAAGGCUAGAAUCUCGGAGAGGAUAGCGGAAUUUCCAGUGUAGCAGUGAAAUGCGUAGAUAUUGGAAGGAACACCAGUGGCGUAAGCGGCUAUCUGGACGAGUAUUGACGCUGAGGCACGAAAGCGUGGGGAUCAAACAGGAUUAGAAACCCCUGUAGUCC
rnacentral:rRNA from 1 species